rnacentral:rRNA from 1 species
GACAGAGGGUGCAAACGUUGUUCGGAAUUACUGGGCGUAAAGCGCGUGUAGGCGGCCAUCUAAGUCGGGCGUGAAAUCCCACGGCUCAACCGUGGAAGUGCACUCGAAACUGGAUGGCUAGAGUCCGGGAGAGGUGAGUGGAACUGCGAGUGUAGAGGUGAAAUUCGUAGAUAUUCGCAAGAACACCAGUGGCGAAGGCGGCUCACUGGCCCGGUACUGACGCUGAGGCACGAAAGCGUGGGGAGCAAACAGG